ACUUAAGGGGGGCAGCAGUGGGGAAUAUUGCACAAUGGGGGAAACCCUGAUGCAGCGACGCCGCGUGAGUGAAGAAGUAUCUCGGUACAUAAAGCUCUAUCAGCAGGGAAGAAAAUGACGGUACCUGACUAAGAAGCCCCGGCUAAAUACGUGCCAGCAGCCGCGGUAAUACGUAUGGGGCAAGCGUUAUCCGGAUUUACUGGGUGUAAAGGGAGCGUAGGCGGCCUGGCAAGCCUGAUGUGAAAUACCGGGGCCCAACCCCGGGGCUGCAUUGGGAACUGCCAGGCUGGAGUGCCGGAGAGGCA
rnacentral:rRNA from 1 species